rnacentral:rRNA from 1 species
CAUGGUGUAGGGGUGAAAUCCGUUGAUAUCAUGGGGAACACCAAAAGCGAAGGCACUUUACUGGCACAUAUCUGACACUCAAGCACGAAAGCGUGGGUAGCGAAUGGGAUUAGAUACCCCAGUAGUCCACGCCCUAAACUAUGAUCUCUAGUCUUUCGGAGUAUCGACCCUCUGAGAGACGUAGCUAACGCGUUAAGAGAUCCGCCUGGGAAGUACGGCCGCAAGGCUAAAACUCAAAGGAAUAGACGGGGACUUGCACAAGCAGUGGAUUAUGUGGUUUAAUUCGAUGGUAAACGAAGAACCUUACCAGGGCUAGAAAUCAACGUGAAAUCUCUAGGAAACUAGAGCCCUCGCAAGACUAGUUGACAGGUGCUGCAUGGCCGUCGUCAGUUCGUGGUUUGAAUUGUACCCUUAAGUGGGCUAACGAACGCAACCCUCGUUGUGUGUUACAAGUGUCACACGAUACUGCCCCCGCCUAAGUUUUUAAUCUUUAUAGAUUGAAAUUUUAGGCGGGGGAGGAAGGAGAGGAUGACGCCAGGUCAGCAUGGCCCUUGAUGCCCUGGGCUACACACAUAAUACAAUGGCCAUUACAACGCGCAGCGACGAGGCGACUCUGAGCUAAUCGUCAAAAAUGGCCCCAGUUCGGAUUGAAGUCUGCAACUCGACUUCAUGAAGCCGGAAUUGCUAGUAAUCGCAGGUCAGACAUACUGCGGUGAAUACGUUCUCAAGUCUUGUACUCACCGCCCGUCAAUUCAAGGGAGCCGGGAGUACCCGAAGUAUCUUCAGAAGGAGGUCCUACGGUAAGCUCGGUGACAGGGAAUAAGUCGUAACAAGGCACGGGUAGCGGAAGCUGCUCGUG